GGCAUUGGUAGGUUAAGUAGCCUAUCUGUUACACUACGGGCUGAAGAGUUUCCCAAUCGCGAGUGACUCAGACGCAUUAUAGGGCAGACAGAAGACAGCGUAAGUCACACAGGAUGUAACUGCAAAUUUAGAAGUAAAUAAACACAAGUCAUUCUGUACGAUUGCCCAACUUCCAAACGAAUGAUGUCCAAAUAGGCUGCAUGCCAUGUCAGACUUUUGGUAGACCGAUCGUUUGCGGUGCCGCGUCUGUAUCGAGGAUGGCUGAUGUGUGACUAGUUUUAAACGCCAAACAGUGAGAAAAGGAAAGCAACAUUUCAUUUGUAAUUUUCAAAGAGUGGGCUCUCGUUACAAAAUGAUGAUUUCCUGCAUCCUUUGGCUACCACAUCAUGUGUAACUGUGGUUGAGGGUCAUACUACAAAGUGAGGUUAUUGGCUUAUCCAGGUAACUUAAGGAGUAACUGCUGUUCGCUAAUCUCAGAAGAACACAUCACUUUUGAAACAACACAUGCUUGAUGUCCAUAAAGCACGGGUCUGGAGAUAUGACCUUCCCAUUCCAGCAUGUAGACCAACCAAGCCACAUGUAUUUGCUUUCAAGAGGAGACAUCUUUAUUGGAGACAUGAUCUUGUCAGAAGAUUCUCGGGAUUCUCCAUAGACCACACAUAGGGUUGAAGUUGACGUGAGUUUACAUGCCUCUCUGAUGGUAUGGACCAAGGCCUACAGACGAGUGUCCUUUAAUGUGAGCAAGGUAAGCUUUCGUCCUGGAUAGUGGUCCAUCACUACUGAAACUUUGUGAUAAAUUCAGCAUCAACAAAGAGGUAUGACAUGGAUUAUCCCCCAAUAUGUAUCCUCCUCACAUAGUUGCCAAGUGUGAUGAUGAUGCCCAGAACAACUGUAGUCUCUGCCUUUUGUAAGUUUACAGUGGAGUUCAGGCAAGAGAAGAUGGUAGGUCCACCACAGGGAGCAGCCCCAGUGUGAAGAUAAGACCAGCAAUGUCUAUAUGAUGCAACUUUUUGAACAGGAUGUAUUAUAAGUUAGUCUUGGCUUUUUGAUGUCAACAAUCGGCAAGAAAGAAAUCUGCCAGCAUCACACUGAAAUCAACUGAUUUACCGAAGGCAUUCCAUAUUGGAUCAGAUCAUAAACGUCCACAGCUACAAAGAGGACUGAAGAAUUUGUUGAUAUUUGUGGGUGCCUGCAUCAAGGGCUAGUAGUUUGUUUGGUUAUGUUGCUGACUAGAUCAUAAACGGCCACAGCAAUGGAUGGAGGAAUGACCAAAGAAUUUGUUGAUAUUUGUUGGUAGAGAACCCACCAUGAAUAUGGAGCGGUGUGGGCCUAGGAUGCCAGGCACCACUGUUGAGCCUUCUGGAGGUGUUGUGGGCCUAAUUCAAUGCAACACUGAUGAAGGAAUUAAGCUGCCUGCUUGUUUUAUACCCUCAUAGGUUGCUUUGUUAGUGAUUUUGUUUUUUAUGGUAAAUAGGAUGUGUUGAUUGGCCGCUGUUGGAGAUCCCUAGUGUUACCUAGCACAAGGAAUUCAACACCUCUCCUGUGUAUAUCUGAAAUGGAGACUUCAUGGGAGGGUAUAAUCAAACUGAAACUAGCACAUGCAGGUGGCCCCUUCAAAAUUGCGUGAGUAAAGACAUUUCUAGAAAUGCAUUGUGGUAUUGUGCUUUGAGUUGAUUUCAUUAGUGAACCAUAUCAAUGGUUGAUAUUAUAGUUCUGCACCCCCAGUGUGAUACAGAGUAUUCCAAACAAUGAUGAGAAGAAGUAUUCCACAGUGCA